rnacentral:lncRNA from 1 species
GCAUUUGUGUGAAGGGCUUUACCGCAAAAGUGGAAGGUUUUCUGUGACAGAGUAUAACAGAACUGUGUAGGUUCAGGAUAUGUCAGUAUAUGAUAAUAUUCUUGCUAAGCAAACCAUACCCUUGGUCACGUGUUUACAUGGUUUUUCUGCAUGUGAAAUCAGUUUUCUUUGUCUGCUCUAACCAUUUGUUUUCUCUGAGCCUGGAGGUAUUGAUAAUUGGGCAGUGUGCAAAGCUCAAUACCAUAGGAAGAUAGGGAUGGAUUGGGAAAUGAGUGUCUAAGUAGCAGCUCUCUGAGAGAUUGCUGGGUUUGCUGCUCUCCUGUCUGUCCUCUUGUGUGUGUUUAAGGUAGAGUUGACCCGUUAGAUGAAUUUUAUUGGCACCCAUUAGUUUUAAAGUGCUUUGAAAGUGGGUCUAGAAGAUUUGAGCUCUUUGAGACAAAACUGAGGUAGUGUCUUUUGAGAUCUGCUGGUGGGAUGAUGUUACUUCCAGUUGGAUAAAAAUGGUAGUCCCUAUCUGCACAAUUUAUUUUGUGGUUCCUUUUGCUGUUGCAUGGUCCUUUUAGCAUCAUGUAAUGUCCAGCCGAGUCAGUUAUGUAAUACGUUUCAAAAUUUGGUGCCCUAUUAAGCAAAAUUCCUUAUUUUUGUUGUAGUUUUGUAAUUCAAAGCAUUUCCAGUUUUGCAUACGUUUUUCCUGGACAAAAAGCAGUUUUGUUUUGGUUUUUUUUUUUUUAAGAUGAUGACGAUGACUACCCCCCCCUAGACAAGAGACAGAAGAGCACGAAGUCGGCUAAUGAAGCUGCCAGUACUCAAAGAAGAGAAGGAAAAGAAUUCAGUUCUGAUUCUUCCCAGCACGACUCGUCAGAAUCAAGUUCGGAUUCUGAGCCCGAAAUCACUACUGAAGAUGAUGAUGAUGAUGAGUACGUGCCUCCUAGCAGGAGACCGAGGAGCAGGCGGUCUAAUCGCGCUUCCAACACUGGGAGAAGGAAAGGAAAACACUCUAGUUCCGAUUCCUCCCAGCAUGAGUUGUCAGAACCAGGUGUGA